AAUCAACGCUGGCGGCGUGCCUAACACAUGCAAGUCGAACGCGAAAGUCCCGCAAGGGAUCAAAAGUCCCGCAAGGGAUCAGUAGAGUGGCAAACGGGUGAGUAACACGUGGGUGACCUGCCUUCGAGCGGGGGAUAACGUCCCGAAAGGGACGCUAAUACCGCAUGACAUCCUGCCUUUGAAGAGGUGGAGAUCAAAAGCUGGGGGAUCGCAAGACCUAGCACUCGAAGAGGGGCCCGCGCCUGAUUAGCUAGUUGGUGGGGUAACGGCUCACCAAGGCUACGAUCAGUAUCCGGCCUGAGAGGGCGACCGGCCACACUGGGACUGAGACACGGCCCAGACUCCUACGGGAGGCAGCAGUGGGGAAUCUUGCGCAAUGGGCGAAAGCCUGACGCAGCGACGCCGCGUGAGGGAGU
rnacentral:rRNA from 1 species